rnacentral:rRNA from 1 species
AACGCGUAAUUAACCUAUACCUGGCCUGUGACAUCUGUCGAAUCCUUCAGAGAUGAGGGAGUGCCUUCGGGAACGACAAGACAGGUGCUGCAUGGUCUGUCGUCAGCUCGUGUCGUGAGAUGUUGGGUUAAGUCCCGCAACGAGCGCAACCCUUGCCCUUAGUUCGCCAUGCAUUUAGUUGGGAACUCUAAGGGGACCGCCGGUGACAAACCGGAGGAAGGUGGGGAUGACGUCAAGUCAUCAUGGCCCUUAUGGCCAGGGCUACACACGUGCUACAAUGGUCGGUACAGAGGGUUGCCAAGUCGUGAGACGGAGCUAAUCCCAGAAAGCCGAUCGUAAGUCCGGAUUGCAGUCUGCAACUCGACUGCAUGAGGUCGGAAUCGCUAGUAAUCGCGAAUCAGCGAUGUCGCGGCGAAUAUCUGUUUCCCGGGUCUUGUACACACCCG